rnacentral:rRNA from 1 species
CUACGGGCGGCAGCAGUGGGGAAUAUUGGACAAUGGGGGAAACCCUGAUCCAGCAAUGCCGCGUGUGUGAAGAAGGCCUGCGGGUUGUAAAGCACUUUCGGUUGGGAGGACUGCUUCUAGCACUAAUAUUGUUGGAAGUUGACGUUACCUUCAGAAGAAGCACCGGCUAACUCCGUGCCAGCAGCCGCGGUAAUACUGGAGGGUGCAAGCGUUAGUCGGAAUUACUGGGCGUAAAGCGCGCGUAGGCGGCUAGAUCAGUCGGGUGUGAAAGCCCCGGGCUUAACCUGGGAACUGCAUCCGAUACUGUCUAGCUUGAGUACAGGAGAGGAGAGUGGAAUUCCACAUGUAGCGGUGAAAUGCGUAGAUAUGUGGAGGAACACCAAUGGCGAAGGCAGCUCUCUGGCCUGAUACUGACGCUGAGGUGCGAAAGCGUGGGGAGCAAACAGGAUUAGAUACCCGAGUAGUC